rnacentral:rRNA from 1 species
GAGGAAGCAUUUAUUAGAUAAAAAGCCAAUGCAUGCUUUUACAGUAUGAAAAUUGGUGAUUUAUAAUAACUUAGCAAAUCGUAAAGUGAAAACAGACGAUAAAUCAUUCAAGUUUCUGACCUAUCAGCUUUCGACGGUAUGGUAUUGGCUUACCGUGGCAGUGACGGUUAACGGGGGAUUAGGGUUCGAUUCCGGAGAGGGAGCCUGAGAAACGGCUACCACAUCUAAGGAAGGCAGCAGGCGCGCAAAUUACCCAAUUCUAACAGUUUGAGAGAGGUAGUAACAAGAAAUAACAAUACAAGGCAGUUAAAAUGCUUUGUAAUUGGAAUGAUAGAAAUUUAAACCCUUUUUAAAGUAUCAAUUGGAGGGCAAGUCUGGUGCCAGCAGCCGCGGUAAUUCCAGCUCCAAUAGCGUAUAUUAAAAUUGUUGCAGUUAAAAAGCUCGUAGUUGAAGUUCUGCUAAAAGUAACCGGUCUGCUUUUAAUAAAAGUGGUAUCUUGGUAUGUAUUUAGCAAUGAUGUCCUUUGAAGUGUUUUUUACUUUAUUGUAAUAAAGCAUAUUCAGGACUUUUACUUUGAGAAAAUUAGAGUGUUUCUAGCAGGCCGACGCUUUGAAUACUGCAGCAUGGAAUAAAUAAGA